rnacentral:rRNA from 1 species
AUCCUCUAGAGAUUAAGUUGUUUGCAAGUUCUACUUGAGCUUUAAUCCAGUCUGCAAUCGUGUGAUUGCGAAUUCAAGACUAACGGGAGCCUGCGGCUUAAUUUGACUCAACACGGGGAAACUCACCAGGUCCAGACACAAUAAGGAUUGACAGAUUGAGAGCUCUUUCUUGAUCUUGUGGAUGGUGGUAGAACAGUACAGGUGCCACCUACAGCUACGGCAUAGCUAGCCCGUCUCCGCGCGGGCGACACUCUCAAGGUGCUGAAAGCCUCCGGUGUGAAGGCACGGAGGUAUCAGCAGCCAGGCGUGCUCUCUGGCGCGCCUUGGCCCACAGACUAAAUGGGGGUGGGCUGGUGCUCUUCGGUGGAGCUCCAGUUGUAAGAUAUAGCCGAACCCGGGGCUGCAAGGCUCCCGGUAUCAGUGGCAUGGCCGUUCUUAGUUGGUGGAGUGAUUUGUCUGCUUAAUUGCGAUAACGAACGAGACCUUAACCUGCUAAAUAGCCAGGCCAGCUUUGGCUGGUCGCCGGCUUCUUAGAGGGACUAUCGGCUCAAGCCGAUGGAAGUUUGAGGCAAUAACAGGUCUGUGAUGCCCUUAGAUGUUCUGGGCCGCACGCGCGCUACACUGACAGAGCCAACGAGUACAUCACCUUGGCCGAAAGGUCUGGGUAAUCUUGUUAAACUCUGUCGUGCUGGGGAUAGAG